rnacentral:rRNA from 1 species
GACGAACCGUGCGAACGUUGUUCGGAAUCACUGGGUUUAAAGGGCGCGUAGGCGGCGCACCAAGUCAGGCGUGAAAGCCCUGGGCUCAACCCGGGAAUUGCGCUUGAGACUGGUGUGCUUGAGUACGGGAGAGGAUAGUGGAAUUCCCAGUGUAGAGGUGAAAUUCGUAGAUAUUGGGAAGAACACCGGUGGCGAAGGCGGCUCACUGGCUCGUAACUGACGCUCAGGCGCGACAGCGUGGGGAUCAAACAGG